AUUGAACGCUGGCGGCAGGCCUAACACAUGCAAGUCGAACGGAGUGGCGGACGGGUGAGUAAUGUCUGGGAAACUGCCUGAUGGAGGGGGAUAACUACUGGAAACGGUAGCUAAUACCGCAUACUAUCAGAUGAGCCUAGGUUGGAUUAGCUAGUUGGUGGGGUAAAGGCCUACCAAGGCGACGAUCCGUAACUGGUCUGAGAGGAUGAGCAGGCACACUGGAACUGAGACACGGUCCAGACUCCUACGGGAGGCAGCAGUGGGGAAUAUUGGACAAUGGGCGAAAGCCUGAUCCAGCCAUGCCGCGUGUGUGAAGAAGGUCUUCGGAUUGUAAAGCACUUUAAGUUGGGAGGCGUUACCAGCAGAAUAAGCACCGGCUAACUUCGUGCCAGCAGCCGCGGUAAUUC
rnacentral:rRNA from 1 species